rnacentral:rRNA from 1 species
AUACAGAGAGUGCAAGCGUUAAUCGGAAUUACUGGGCGUAAGGCGCGCGUAGGUGGAUACUUCAGUCGGAUGUGAAAGCCCCAGGCUUAACCUGGGAAUUGCACUCGAUACUGGGUAUCUUGAGUAUGGUAGAGGGAAGUGGAAUUUCCGGUGUAGCGGUGAAAUGCGUAGAUAUCGGAAAGAACACCAGUGGCGAAGGCGACUUCCUGGACCAAUACUGACACUGAGGUGCGAAAGCGUGGGGAGCAAGCAGGAUUAGAAACCCCAGUAGUCC